UUUCUUUCCACCACCUUUCCCUCUCUGCACAUGUCCAAGUUUAUUGUACCUUAUCGUCUUCAUUGCUUGAAAGAUAAUUAGGUUUCGAGUUUUCAAUGGCAGUGUUUCCCAAAUUCAUCUGUAGAUUUUCACAUUUACCUGCUUUGAUAAGCUCGAGGUUUAAAUCGUUAACUUAGUUCAUGGUGUCCAGAAUAGGGGUUACUUACUCUUUUUAAUUUCAUAACAUUCUCUGUUUAGACACGAAUAGGAUCGGAAAGAUUUACGCGUUAACUUCAUGAAAUAAGAAGUUUAGUUGGCACCCCAAUUUACUUCUUGAUAGUAACUAGUACAGUUGAUAAUUAUAGUGUCGUAACUUCUCAAUUAGAAGACCUCUUGCUUUGAUUUUGGUUUGAAUUCAAAUUCUAUGACAUUAUAGUUUCAAUUUAACUUUUAUAUUUAUAAUUCAAAGUCAAAUUAGGUACUUUUGCAGUUUCGAUAUUGACGUAUGAGAAUAUAAAUUUAUGGUUGUGGAAUUGAAGAAGUGAUUAAGUUUAUUCAAUUAUGAAUAAAGUAUGUAGAUAAUGACUAGCUUUUUAUAUCAAAUAACUAAGAUACAUGAAUUGAAUAUGAAUAUAAUAGGUUUAAACUAAAUGCAGUAUUAGGGUUGGCAACUAAUACGAAUUCUGGAGACUGAUCUAUUAUGCGGAGAGAUGAAACUCAUAUCAUUAAGAAGAAUAAUAGGAUGUUUUUGUUCACUCUCAAACCUUAGGCCAACAUAAGGCCCUAGGGUAAUUUACUUUGGAAAAUCAAGACACAUUAAAAUGAUUUUUCACCUGUACAUGAUGUAGUGUGUUUCCUAUACUCCCAGUGAUUUUAUUGAAUUUCAAGUCUUUCUAUGCUAUGUUCGUUAAUUCCCAAUCACAUUUUUCUUGAAACAUCUGUCUUUUCCGUGGUUAUGAAUUCAUCCAUUCUUCAGCACAUACCUAUGGAAGCUUUCAUAAUGUGGUCGUGAGUCUCGAUAUUAAGAAUCUAGCCAUAGUUUGGUUUUCUUGCAGUUGAAAAUGGUAAUCACGUGUUCAAUCAUAGUUCAUUAAUUUUUUUCUUCAUCUGAAUUUGGUUGUAAGUUUAAGGAAGUACACUGGAUAGGCUGAUCUUAAUCAACUGGUGUCUUACACUUCACUUCACAAAAAAAAAAAAAAAUCAACUUGUGUUUUACACAUUUCUUCUAGCGCACUUAUUUUAAGUAAUCGUGUUUUUAAUUUGUUAUUGCAUUGUAUUGUGCAUAUCUUUGAGUAUCUUGUUCUGAAGGUUCUAAGGACUUAUAACAAGGAAGAAGUCCAGUAGGAGAAGUCCAGUAGGAACUAAGGUCAUUGACUUGAGCAUUUUGCUUUCAGGAAUGAUCAUCUUGCAAAUAAUUUUUUCAGCAUGAUUACAUUUGUUUUCAGUAAGAUAAGAAUAGUGAAUUCGAUGUGUUUAUGACUACUUUUUAAAUUUUCUAGAGUUUUUUCUUUUGAUACAAUGGACAUGUGCUAUCAAUAUAUUGUGCUCAUAUUUCAUAACAUGUUAAUGAUAUAUAAAAUGGAAUAGUAAUCUAUUAGAGAUAUCAUGCUUAAGUAGUUGCAAACGCAAUCUACUCUGUUGGUGCAACUUAUUAAAGUAAUCUGUUCCAGAUUGAAUGGAUCCAUUUUCGAUGGCAGCAUGGCUGGGAUUAGGAAGUUUUUGGUGCUGACUUGAUUGGCCCUUGAUUCGAAUUACACUGGAAGCUUCAUCUCCUGAAUUCCUCCCAUUUUCCUUUUUCUAUUUGUCUACCCACUCAGCUCCAGCUGAAACCAUUUAAAUCAAAAUGUUUGCAGCUUGAGGCAGCAUCAUUUUCAUCACGGGCAUUUAAGUCCAGCUUUGUUGCAAGGUAAGGCAGUCCAUAUCCUUGUGAAAGCCGUUCAUUAUCUAUUUUACCUGAGUCUGUCCUCCCAUUGGUUUGGUCUCCAAAAAUAUUGUCGUCAUUUCUUCCUCUAAUCGUCCCUCAGAAAAGCUGUUGCUUCCACGCCCUUUUUCAACUUGAAGCCCAACACUCAUGGAUAAAUCACUGGAGUGUCUUUCCACAAAACUAUUUCUCCUUUCUGUAUCCUUACCUAUUGAAGAAAGAAACAUUUUAUUUUCUUUCACAUCUCUUGACCACUUGAGCUCAGUCUGGUGCAGCAUGGGCUCUUGCACUCUCUCUUUUUGCUCCAACAAUGAAUUACCAUGAUAGUGUCUCAAUCCCAGUCCAUUGUUGUGUAUUUCUUGGUCCUUUUGAGAUCCUUCACAAGAGGUCAGGCAACUGUCUAUUGAACAAUCCGCUGGCUGUGUUAGUUGUGUUUGCUGAGGGCACAAACCCUGUAGUUCUUUCAGCU
rnacentral:lncRNA from 1 species